rnacentral:rRNA from 1 species
GAUGAACGCUGGCGGCGUGCCUAAUACAUGCAAGUCGAGCGAACAGAUGAGGAGCUUGCUCCUCUGACGUUAGCGGCGGACGGGUGAGUAACACGUGGAUAACCUACCUAUAAGACUGGGAUAACUUCGGGAAACCGGAGCUAAUACCGGAUAAUAUAUUGAACCGCAUGGUUCAAUAGUGAAAGACGGUUUUGCUGUCACUUAUAGAUGGAUCCGCGCCGCAUUAGCUAGUUGGUAAGGUAACGGCUUACCAAGGCAACGAUGCGUAGACGACCUGAGAGGGUGAUCGGCCACACUGGAACUGAGACACGGUCCAGACUCCUACGGGAGGCAGCAGUAGGGAAUCUUCCGCAAUGGGCGAAAGCCUGACGGAGCAACGCCGCGUGAGUGAUGAAGGUCUUCGGAUCGUAAAACUCUGUUAUUAGGGAAGAACAAAUGUGUAAGUAACUAUGCACGUCUUGACGGUACCUAAUCAGAAAGCAACGGCUAACUACGUG